CAGUCAAACUAUUACGUGAGAUGUACAAUUUGUUGUGACUGGUACCCUGCUCAUUGCUGCCUAGCAGAAGACAUGGGCUUUCUCAUUGAUAUUCCUUGCCAAAACAAAAAAGGGUCGAUUUUUGCCUAUAAUCGAUUCCAUGUUUUGUUAUCUUUAUGCUACUUUUGCCUAUCGAUUAGCGUUAUGUUUUCAAAAUUUAGUGUUCUUGAAAAUAUCGACUUUGGUAACCGGCUUGUGUUUCGGUUACUUCUAUUAUUCGGAAAUCGGUAUCAUUGGGUCUGUUCUUCGCGCGCCAGACUAUUUCCAACGACGAGGCGAGUAUCGAUGCGUAGUGAGCAAUUUGAGGCCGAGGACCCAAGUAGAUGUCUGAGACCAGGACUUGAGGAGCUUCCUAAUUAUUGUACAAUGAGUUUUGUAAAUGAACUGCUCUCUCCUUGAUAAAAGAUUGACUUUUCAACAUUCCUCAUGACACACUGAGCAUCAUGAGGUGGACUCAACAUACAAGCAACAUGUGACAGUAAACUGAAGAUGUAGAGGCAUCACAGAAAGACAAUGAACUCCUUGGCACUAUUGGACCCAGACAGAUUCCUAACAUCUACUGCUAUUUGAAAUGAUAAAACCAUGGAGGAGUACAUUAGAUUCUAAUGAUGGCCAAGAUGAACUGCUCAUAACACAAACUCAGAAGUGUGAAGUUUCCAACACAACCUUAACUGAAGCUCUUCGAUGUCUGUUCACCCAGCGCCUUGCCAUGAACUACUGCGUGUUGUUUCAACUCAGGGAAUUAUGUGACUACAGGGCGACUACAUGUAACUGGAUCGCUUUGAUGUCUGUUCACCUCUCAUUGAUAACACUCACCAUGAACUACUGUUUGGUCUUACCAACCCAGGGAAGUAGGCAUCUACAAGACGUCAAUGCUGGAACAUUUCUUGACACUGCAGACAAACACUGAACUAUGGAUCUUGGCCAUCAGACUGAGAUGGCAAUUGACAGAGGAGGUGGUUUCUACAAAGACUCUUGGAAAUCCAACCAGUGUUCAUCAUUUUCAUCAAACAGUGUUUAAAGCAUGGAACGUUUCUUUGUUGAUACUAACAAUCUGUGAAUGACUUCUUGGCUUCUUUAGGCCAAGUAUUAUAUGUCAUCAAUUAAUGGAACACUUAAGUGACACCAUGAUGACAUGAUAUGAGACUUUGCUCUUUGUGUGGAGAUGCAGCACAUUUAUAGAUAACUCUUUGACCCCAGAGGGACAUGAGGUCACCUGGGGUUAUAGUGAAGCAGAAUAUGGACAUUCAUCUGGAAGAAUUAAACAGGAUAAUUUUGAAUUAUUUACUUUGUAUGAAUACUAUUAGCCCCUCACAAAAAAUAGUAAAAGGUUAAAUUUAAGAAGAUGCAAUGUAGGACAAAUUAUCCUAUCUGAUGAAUAUCAAAUCCAAUGAUAUAAGUUGUAAGGACAAGUUGGGAUGUUUUGCUGCAAUCUUCUAAAACGUAAAACCAACAAAUUUAAAAAUUCAACCAUGAAGUACACAAAAUUAGCAUUACAUGUGCUCAAACAAUUCUACUCCUUAAAAAAGGUAGCACAAAAUGCGAUGGUUGACAAAAAGGUCAAUAUAAAACCAUAGAACUAAUAAAUGAGCAACAUGUUUAUUUGUACAUUUCAAUUUGUUAAAAGGUAGCACUACUUGACAAAAAGUCAAUUUAUACAAACAAAUUCUGAGGAAUACACUUGAACGAUUUCACUUUUCCAGAAAGUGGUACAUUUGAAAGCUGAUUGACGAAAAACAAAAAGUACAUUAUUUGAUACAAGCAGUUAUUGUGAGGGGCUUAUAUAACUAUAAGACUUGUGACCACAUGUUUACAAAUAGGUCUUGAGCAUAGACUUCUUGCUUCACAAAAAGUGUAGAUGGGUUAAAAAGAAAAAAAAACAUACAAUCUUGCAUAUUAUGAACACUUGUUUCAGUUUUUUGUUUGGGGAAAAGGGGAGCAACUCACAUUUUGUCAGCUGUUGUCUUUUAUCAAAUGUUAGGUUUUUGUGUUGAAAAUCUGGUACAAAAUGUAAACUUGCGGGAAAUGCCAUACAUUGCUCAAGAUCCAUCAUUUUGUAAGCAUGUGGUAUGUAUAAGAUAAAUGGUACAGCAUUGGUUACUUUAGUUAGGAUUUAGUUUUUUAAUGAACUACAUACCAAAGUCAGCCUGUAAUUGAUUAAUGAUAUACUCAAAUAUUUUAAGGCAAAAUACUUGUUGAAAUUAUUACCCAAAACCAAUCUCCAAUGAAAACAUACACAAGUUUUAAAACUGUUUUUAUUUUUAUUUCUUGACACCAAUUUACAGGCAAACACUUUUGAGAUAAGUUACCAAAACCCAUUACAAUAAAUAGAAAUAGAAACAACUUUUACUAAGAACAAAUUUACAGCAGAUUUGUUUUUGGACAGGUUCAACUUUUGAUGACAAACAUUGUAUCUUUAAAACUGCCACUUUUGCCAGAUAACACUAGAUCAUUUCAAAAGUGAGUCCAAAACUAUGGAACAUCAUUCCCUUUGACACAAGGGUUGACGACUCUCUUGCCAUUUUCAGAAAACAUCUUAAAUAUUUAUUCCAUGAAACCCAGGUAUUUCCUUUUCAAGUGAUCUCUCUUAUAAAACUAUUGUUUGAAUUCAAAUUUAGUAUUGUUAUUGUAACCAAUGCUGUACCUUAAUGGUUUAUGUAUUUAAAAUAAUAGUCCUAGGGGAAACACAAAGAGUGCAUGUUGGUAGCUGGAUACAAGAUUGGUGAUACAUGAACUGUCCACAUUUCUGAAAACACAAAGUAUUUAAAUGCAUGUACACUAGUUGUAUCUGCUGAUGUGACAGUGUUCAUACAUGCUCCUAUACAUUGUUACAAGUAAUACUCUCUUUAAUUACUCUACUGAUUUUGUCAGAUGACAGGUCAGAAUGAGAAGGAUAAGAAAGGAACUCUCAGUUUUUCACAGCAAAUCUGUAUGAUAAACACAAAAUUUAUUUUUUUUGAAAAGUGAAAACAACCUUGAAUUACUUACUUAUUGUGUUAAGAUGUGGUACUCAUAGUAACAAUUAUUGACACUGAUUCCAGCUGGAAAAAAGCGUCAAUUGACAAGAAUGCAGCACUCUCCCAAAUGCAUGAUGACUCCAUCUACAUAUACAAACUAUGCAUUCUUGACACUUGUAGCCUAGUGGUUAGGGGAAACCCCCUAAAUGACACACACUUUAUGAUUUGUCUUUCCAUUAUGGCCAAUCUUUGCAGUGAGAUUGGGAUAUUGGUAAAAGGUAGUGAGAUGGUCACUGAAACUAGCAGGGCCCUCCUCACAUUUGACUAGGCAGACAUCGAGUUGUACUUUACCAAGUUUGCUAUCCAAAAUGUUUCAUAUUGUGGCAGUUCUUGUGUUAACCAGUCUUGUAACCUAAGAUUGUUUCAUAUUUGCUGCAUUUCAAAAUGAUUGCCAAAACUUAUUUUUUUUUAUUCUGGAUCUUCCUUUUACUCUCCAAUUUCCAUAUGCAACAUUCCACUUGUUCAAAUUUUUCAAUGAAAUCCAAUGCAGUGUUACUAAUGAAACAUUUAACUGUGUUCUACCAACAGCUCAUGAAUGUAUCCCCUCCCCUUUUUGGCACCCCGGUGCAUGCAAGCCAUCCUGGUACUCGCACGAGUGUUCCCUGCCCGCAAGUGUCGGCAGGCUGGUCGGUGGGUUGCCCUCUGUCUGCAUUUAACUGGCGUUUGGCUGUUUGUGAUGUGUCAUCUUUCCCGAUCAUGUAGUCUGGAUGAAUCAAGGACCCAAAGUUGGCUACAACAUGGUAGGGUCUUUUGAACUUUAAUAACCAGUUCUUUCCAUAGAGGACGAUGUGUCUACUACUACUCCAGGCAUUGUGCAUGGACAGAACACCUUCAACACCUACUCUGAAAUUCUCACUGUAACUUCUGGACUUGGAGUUGUCUCAUGAGUCUACGAUCAAUGAUGGUGAAAUAUGAACCUAUGGUGCACAUUUAGAGUUGUUCUGACAUCUGUGUGAUAACAGUCACUACCUCAGCUUGCCAAAUCAUGUAGAUAAUGUCUCCAUCUUAUUCUCUCUGCUCUGCAUUAUAUAUUCAAUCCCCAAAUCACUUUUGAUCUCUGAAAAUGAGAUUCAAACAUUUACCUGAUCUAAAACCUGAAAAUCUAAAAAGCCCAAAGAAGCUAGUGCAUGAUUUAAUUCAACUACUUAGAAAAUGUUCCUCAAGAGAAAUACAAAAAACAAAUCUACUUUAUGAGCACAAAUAGUAAUAAACUACACUAUCUAGAUUAAAUUCUGAUGAAUAAGUAGGCAAUUUCAUCUUAGCUAGUACAUUCAAUGAAAUCAGAAAAUGCCACUACCUUUUGGAAAACACAAAAUCAAUUCUUGAGAAUCGCUGUAGGUCAUGUAAUGAUCAUUAAAUAGGCACUUGUCAGUAGGCAGCAAAAAAUACUGAAAACAAUAACAAGUUUAAAAUAUUAAAAAGGAAACUAUGAAGCACAAAGUUGCAAUCUGAAGAUUUUUAUUGACAAAAACUGAAAUGCCUCUGGAAUUCUAGAGUGCUAAUCCACCUCCAAUUAAGUCCAAAUUGUUGCCAUUUUAACAACUCGGCACAAAAGAUGUUGCCAACAAAAUAUCUAAACCUUGUCAUGCUAGGAAAAUGUAAGUUUAAAAUCAAAGUUAAAAAACGAAUCCCAAAAGGAGGCAAUUAUAGAAAUACAAAUUGGAUUCUGAACAUCUUUAUGAUGUUCAAAUAGUUCCAAAGCUAUAAAGGAUAUGAAAUAAAAUAGACAUUUUGUCCACAAAUGUGAAGAUAAACAUUCACAGGAGAUUAAAUCAAAACAAGUUGGUGAAUUUAAAACCGACUAUCUUGUGCUAAAUCUUUUCACUCAAAAAGCUUUUGCCAAAAGCAUCAGCUUGAACAAAAUACCUGAUGAAGGUUUCCUGCACUGUUCCACUGAACAGAAUUGAAAAAGGUCAACAUUGUCUGACAUCCAGACUCAAAAUUGACUAGUAUAGAGGACACCAUAUUAUGAGGCACCAGUCUAUGUUAGACAUCAGCCUCAUUUUGGUUGUCAUGAAGUUGUGUGUUAGAAAACAAAGAUUAAAAACCAAUCUUUAAAAAGAGGCCUUUUAAACUGUAUUUAACUUGUAGCCCUAAAAAUAACAAAAUUGUUAAUAGAGUGUUGCAGUCAUAAAUCAAUGAAGUUUUAAACCUGUAUAUUACUUUACAAUUGGAAAGUAAUAAAUCAACAAUUGAAUAUUGACCUUUCCAGCUAGACUGCAACACAAGGUCCCACAUAGGGGAUAAAAUAGGAUGCCAAACUCUUCAAACAUCUGUAAAACAAAAUGACCUGGUGUGUAGAUGGAGAGCACCAUACUAUAACUAGGGCUGUAAAUGGGGCGAUGUGGUGGAGGUCUGUCCCCCUGUUAGUCAUGGAAACUUUGGUGUCCGAUACGGGGGUCCCAGUCCUGUCAGAUAGGUCCAUGGUCAUUUUAAUUGAAGUUUGAAUUCAUGUACUGUAACUAUACAUCCUCAAUAAUGUGUAUCUAGGAGUAGUAUGCAUAACAGAUAGUCUUCAAUCAAAGGCAAUAUCAAGCAUUAAGGGUCUUAGGAAAACAAGAUUGUAUGAAAACAACAAGAGUAUUGUUACAGCCAGAAUGUAACAACCUUAAAGAUGGAAUCAAGGCAUGGUCAUAUCUGAAGGUUACGAAUCAAAUCUUUUAGGAAUCAGACAAAAACCUGCUUUUGAAUCACAUGAAAUUAUUCAAAAGUAACAGUUGUUUACAGCAGUGAAGAGACCAGCUGAUAUUUCUUUGAAAUGAAUGGAAUCUUUCAGAAAGAAACAAUGAGGAAAUAAAAACCAUCAUGACAGAUGCUGGUUGUUAUUGAAUGAGAUACCAGUCCAAACAAGAAGAUAGAAAUCAUGGGCUGUAGCAGGCACUGAGCCCUUGUAAAAUCACACUCUGUGAAUAGUGAGUGCUUUCUGUGAAGUU